AACGAACGCUGGCGGCAGGCUUAACACAUGCAAGUCGAACGCAUCCUUCGGGGUGAGUGGCAGACGGGUGAGUAACGCGUGGGAACGUGCCCUUCAGUUCGGGAUAACCCAGGGAAACUUGGGCUAAUACCGGAUACGUGCGAGAGCAGAAAGAUUUAACGCUGAAGGAUCGGCCCGCGUCUGAUUAGCUAGUUGGUGGGGUAAUGGCCCACCAAGGCGACGAUCAGUAGCUGGUCUGAGAGGAUGAUCAGCCACAUUGGGACUGAGACACGGCCCAAACUCCGACGGGAGGCAGCAGUGGGGAAUAUUGGACAAUGGGCGCAAGCCUGAUGCAGCGACGCCGCGUGAGGGAUGACGGCCUUCGGGUUGCAAACCUCUUUCAGCACCGACGAAGUGCAAGUGACGGUAGGUGCAGAAGAAGGACCGGCCAACUACGUGCCAGCAGCCGCAGUAA
rnacentral:rRNA from 1 species